rnacentral:rRNA from 1 species
CAGCAGUCGCCACGGUAAAACGGAGGGUGCAAGCGUUAAUCGGAAUUACUGGGCGUAAAGCGCACGCAGGCGGUUUGUUAAGUCAGAUGUGAAAUCCCCGAGCUUAACUUGGGAACUGCAUUUGAAACUGGCAAGCUAGAGUCUUGUAGAGGGGGGUAGAAUUCCAGGUGUAGCGGUGAAAUGCGUAGAGAUCUGGAGGAAUACCGGUGGCGAAGGCGGCCCCCUGGACAAAGACUGACGCUCAGGUGCGAAAGCGUGGGGAGCAAACAGGAUUAGAUACCCCAGUAGUCCCUGUCUCUUAUAC